GACGAACGCUGGCGGCGUGCUUAACACAUGCAAGUCGAACGGAAAGGCCCUUUUGGCAGGAUACUAGUGGCGAAAAGGGGAGUAAAACGCGAGUAACCUGCGCUCUACACUUCGAUAUCAGCUGGAGACUCGGGAUAAUACCGCAGAUAAGUCCUUACUGCAGGGUGUGGGGUGGAAAGCUUUUUCGGUGUUGGAUGAGCUCGCGGCCUAUCAGCUUGUUGGUGGGGUAGUGGCCUACCAAGGCUUCGACGGGUAGCCGGCCUGAGAGGGUGAACGGCCACAUUGGGACUGAGAUACGGCCCAGACUCCUACGGGAGGCAGCAGUGGGGAAUAUUGCACAAUGGGCGCAAGCCUGAUGCAGCAACGCCGCGUGGGGGAUGAAGGCCUUCGGGUUGUAAACUGCUUUCAGCAGGGACGAAGCUUGUUGUGACGGUACCUAGAGAAGAAGCACCGGCUAACUACGUG
rnacentral:rRNA from 1 species